UUCACUCUCCACCUUUCGCGGUGAUUAGAGGUGAUUAAUAUACGCAGGCCAGAAGAUGGUGACAGAAACUUCUAAAGCUUAGUGAGAAAUCGGCGUCACCUUCACCUUGCUUUUGAUGUUAAUGUUUUACUUCUUUCAAUCGUGAAACUGCGGUCAUGAAGGGGCACCGCCUUGAAGAAGUUUUAGUCGAAUGAAUCGAUCAAGGACUUAUUUUUUUUCUUAAGGCUGCUACUUAUUCUAUCGGUCUCUUUUGCUGAACCGCUAAGUUGGUGGAUGUAUGCACACUAGCAUCGGUUAUCAAGCGGUGGCGAGGAGACAAACACACACACACAAGCAAACUUCUUAAUACACAGCCACGCCAUGCAUCUUUGAGUUCUUAUACACUCCCUGUAAUACCCUGGCUGCUACCAUAUUAUAAUUACAAGAUGUCUUACGUAGUUAGGCACUUUCUGCACUGAAACGUGGAUGUUCCAAAACGGGAAACAUAUACACCACACUCAAUCCAAUCACAUUGUAUAUAGUGUCCUGUCCAACUGUAUGAUAUUAAAUAGUAAUACUAAUGAUGAACAGAAAAUAUUGGUUACGCAACACAUAGUCACACGUAUGUUAACGGAAUAGAGCUCUUAUGAUGUGAAGGCGGAGGUUUUAUUUUCAGUCGUGUUUGUUUGUCCGCGGACAAGAUAUCUGAAGAACCGCUGGAUGGAUUCAGAUGGCACUUUCAAGGAUGUUUGGCCUCGUGACUGUUUCCGUAUACGAAAUCUACUUACAAGGUUUUGGUCAGGUCAUGGCUGUAGUAGAAGUCACUUCCUUCAGAUUGCCAUGUUCGUAUCUAGCUCUUUCGCAAUUUGUUCAGCCGUUGCAAAUGCAUUCAAGUAGCAAAACUUUCUAGAGAAGUUAUGGAAAAGGAAAAAAUGUGAUCCGAAAAUGUCGAUAUGGCUUUCCUAAGGCUGAAGAUUCAAUUCCUUCCCCGUUGCUGAAAGUAUCAAAUUAAGAAGAAAUGGGAAAGAUGUUAAAAGGCUUCAUCAACUUCAAAGAAAAUCAUCCAGAGAAAAAUUAUCAGUGAUUAAUAUGGCAGGCAAAUGUUGGCUGUCAUUAUAUUGGAGAAAAUAGUAUGACGUUAACCAGAAAUGUGAUUAGCUGCCAAACAAAAGCCGAGAGAAAUGAAGCUGAAGAUAUCGAUUGCAGAAGUUCAAGCCGGGCAUCAACCACACCGACCUAGUCAACCUGACAGAUCCUGCAGCGGUUCCGAACAUUGUCUUUCUCUCUAUGACUAAAAAAAAAGAUUUUUUUAAAUAAUUUAUUCUUUAUAUAUUUGAAUAUUUGCGCCUAUGUGCUAAAUAAUUUACGUUUCUUUUGCGCUUUUGAUGCAUAAAACAUACUUCUUGAUUGAA